CCUUGCAGUGACAUCGACUCUUCCAGUCAGAUACACAUGCAUGGGACUUAUAUUCAGAACUGAAUUAAAUGGACAGAGAGAUCACACUUGAGAUAUAAUCAGCAGGUGCUGAUUAGCAGACACUGUGUGACUCUGAAAUCAACAGUUCUCAAAGUGGCUUCUGGAUUGCCCCAUUCUCCAAUGGUAUGUUCCCGGAGAGGCUGAGGAGCAUAAUACUGGAGAGAGAGACUAAGACAAUGGUUUCCUUGGCAGGCCAGUUCAUUCUUGGACGUCCACUAGAAAGCCUGCUCCUCCAGUUAUUCCAGGGAUUUCUCUAAGCACGAGACAACGUGGCUGUUCUUAAUCAGCUUUUCCCAGUGGGAGGAAGUCCUGUUUCCUUUGGAUUCCAGCUCUCCAUCAUUGUUCACCUGUAAGAUGAAGAACAUCAAAACUUGUCCUAAUUCUGCUCUCCUAGGUCACCUUUUACCCAUGGAAAUGAUAGAACAUCCUGAUAUGCAUCUUCAAAUAUAUUUCAUUUUUCUAUCAGCAAUUCAUGAAUGUUUCCACUGAAGAUAUUGAAUAAUAUUGAAGAAAAAUAUGGAAGAUCAUAGGACAUUCUUAGUUUAAACAUCUUGUCUGAUAAUGAAGUGAAAACUGAGUUUCUUUUCAGAUUUAUUUAAUCAUGAGAGACACAGAGAGAGGAAGAG